rnacentral:lncRNA from 1 species
UUUUUACGAGUCGAACGCGCACCUUACUUAUUCCGCUUGUGUUGCCUUGUGAUAGCUGGGCCGCACCAAGAGCCGGCCCAGUCUAAAUUGUGGCCCGUUUGGACCAUCGAUUCGACACGCAUCUCUCGUUGCAUUGCUUCUCUUCAUCAGUUAGAAAAAAGAAACCUGCCUGAAAAACAAAAGAAGUAAAAGCAGCCACAAGAACGCACAUGAGAUGAGAUUUCUCAAAAAUCAAUAACUCUAUAUAUACACUGGACCUGGACGAGAAUUAAUAGACUGUAGAAGAAUAAUUUACCUGAACAUUGACUGAUUCCAGUUUAACUUGCAAGGAGUCGCUACUGUUAGCUACUCC